ACCUAGGAGUAGAGUAUACAAAAUUGUAAAUGUCGCAAUAUUAGGAUUUGGCAAGCAUAAGACUAUGAAGUGGAUCACUUUCAACUUCCCAGUCAAGAUGAGAGGUUCUGGUAGAGUUUCAAAAACAAACAACGAUAAGGUUAAGCUGAAGAACCUGAAAAAUUCUAAUACUCACAAGCAAAGAACCGUAAUUAUGGAGAAGUUCAGGCCAAGAUCGUGAAGAAAGUGACUUUACUUUCUUUUUGCCAACUUAUGUCAAUUCAAUUGAAGCUUAUAAUAGAAAUUAGCAUCAACAAAAGACAAAUCAGAAAAAAUAAAAAAAAGUGGACAUGAAGAAACAGUUUUAGAUAAUAAUCAUGUUAAUGAUAUUUACUAUAAAAAAAAUAAUUCUUCAAACUUUUCAAUGUUCCCAGGGAGAUAAAUGUGUAAAAACUUUGCGUCCAGUGAACAACCUGAGUUGCCCAAGUGCAAUUAGAGUCCAUUUUAUAUGAAAAACAUAAACACAGCGUAAAAAAUGCUCAUAUACCAGACAAGAUAUUGGCUACAGCCAAGUAAGAAAAGCAGGCCUCGCACAUAAAACUUUAAAAAAAUUAUGAAGCUCUGGCAUCAUUAUUGUUGAAAGAAAGAAAAUUCCUGCCAUGCAUUGUAUUAACUUCUAAAAUCAAGAAAUCAUUUUAUGAAUGUACAUGAAAUUUGUAAAGUCCUUCCUGUUGAUCAGGAAGCAACAGUUUGCUAUCAGUCUAUCCUAAAUUCCAUGAUAAAAUGCAUAUAAUUACCUUUUCAUUCUAAAAGAAGACAAAACAGGGUAUUCAUAAGAAAUUAAAUAGUUCUUUCAUGGUCAGCACACGAAAAUCAUUAUUAAGCCUAAGUAAAAAGGUUUACAGAAGCCUUACUCGCAAAGCCAUCUUUUUAAGUUUAUUCAUUGCAGAGAACUGCUUCAGGCGUGAUAAAACAGCAGAAUCAAGAGGUUUAUCUGGUGCAAUGUUGUCAUCAACAAUCCAAGGGUGACCUGACACAUAAAACCACAUAAGUGCCAUAGCUUUGUACCCUUUCCACUAAUUGUGCAAAUAUUCAUACAAAUCAUGAUAGUUGCUUGCUCAAUAUGAAAGUUAAGUAGACUCACAGAGUACUUGGUGAGCUGUAACCCUUGUUUUUGGAUUCCGAUCAAGCAUUUUUCGAAUUAGAUCUUUGGCACUGUCUGAAAUGCUAGGCCAUGGCUCAGACUGGAAAUCUAGUCUUCCUAGCAAAAUCUGUCGGAAAAUCC